rnacentral:pre_miRNA from 1 species
AACAAAUCAAUUUUUCAGUUUUUAGAUACAAUGUUCGACUUUUUGUCUUAUUAAAAAAUUAUGUUUAAUAUUUUUGUUUUUAUUAGAUGAUAAAGCAUGAAUAGUAUUUUAUGUGUGACUAAUUUUUUAAAAAUUUCUUCAAAAUUUUUCAAACAAGACAGAUGGUUAAAAACUAAACACGAAAAUCAAGAGAUUGAUUUUUU